GAUCAGUUCUCGGCUAUUGAUUUGUAUGCCCUAACCAUGACUGAGUUGUUGGCCUAGUGCCUAUGGCUAUCAAUCAUCGAGCCGCGGCCUGUUAACAUGGGCGACAAGUUCUGGGAUUGUCGCUACCAGGAAGCAAUGACCAGGCACCAGGCACCAGGCACCAGGAGGAGACCACCAGAGGCGCAACGGGCAACUGGUAAUGCCCUCUGAGACCGACUAGACCAGACUCCCGACCAUGUAAUUAACAGCACGCAAAAAGUGUUUGCGAAGCGUUUAUGGAAUGGGAUGGGGUUGGGAUGCUGCUGGACGCGGCUAUUGGAUAUGGGUGUCCCAUUGGCCGAAGGCGACACGCAUGUAAACAUUGCCAUUUUUGGCUAAAGACGCGACAGCUGCGCUGGACAUCGGGACUGGACUGCACAUAACCCUUUCCGAUUCGCAAUGCACGGAGAAAUAUUUUGGAAUUUAUAUAUAUAUCUUUGGAAUAUUUAAUGUGCUCUUGAGAAAUCCAUAUAACGUGUAUCCCUAGCAAGUAGCUUUAUAUUUAAUUUAAAAAUCCAUCGAUAUAUAUUCUUUCUUCGAAGUGGUGACUUAUGACAAACUGCUCAUAAUUCAAUUUUAACACUAUUAACUACAAUAAUAUGGAUUUUUUACAUCAAAUAUCAAAUGAUCUACUCUUUUCUCCGUGCAGUCCAUUCCUUUCCCAUCUGGGUGGCCAACUCGACAAAGACGAU